rnacentral:rRNA from 2 species
UGGGGAAUAUUGCACAAUGGGGGAAACCCUGAUGCAGCGACGCCGCGUGAACGAAGAAGGUAUUCGUAUCGUAAAGUUCUGUCCUAUGGGAAGAUAAUGACAGUACCAUAGAAGAAAGCUCCGGCUAAAUACGUGCCAGCAGCCGCGGUAAUACGUAUGGAGCGAGCGUUGUCCGGAAUUAUUGGGCGUAAAGGGUACGCAGGCGGUUUAAUAAGUCGAAUGUUAAAGAUCGGGGCUCAACCCCGUAAAGCAUUGGAAACUGAUAAACUUGAGUAGUGGAGAGGAAAGUUGAAUUCCUAGUGUAGUGGUGAAAUACGUAGAUAUUAGGAGGAAUACCAGUAGCGAAGGCGACUUUCUGGACACAAACUGACGCUGAGGUACGAAAGCGUGGGGAGCAAACAGG